rnacentral:lncRNA from 1 species
UUGACAUUAAUGAGAUUUUCAUGCUGACUUUCUCUGACUAUUUCUUGCUGUUUCUUUGCAACUUUUGUUGCCAUGAAAAUAGCCAUGACGGUCUUGUUUGUACCUGGUGGUAGAGGUGCCCCACAGUUUCCUGUGAAGCAUGCCUCCGAAAUCACAGUACUUGUUGUGCGGCUAAAAGCCCGCAGGCUUACAACAAAUGCACAGUUAACAAGGACACGCUUUCCAGCCGGCUCACACCAGCAGCAGGAGAGCUGGAGUACUUGGGGAUGCCGGUGCUGUGAGCUCUAAAUUAAAAGGAGCAGUCAGGCUAUAUUUUCAGGCUGAUUCCAUGCACCACAGAGCUCGUGUCCAUCCAUGGAAAUGUGAGCAGGUUCUAGAGUCGCACAGUGCCGCCAGUCUGAUCUUAUUCCACAGGAAAUGUGGGACCCAUUUUCUGAACCAGGCUGCGAGAUUCAGCGUUACUCUAAUCAUGGCCUAAAUAGAACCAUACUGAUUAAGAAAGACCCAGAAAUGUAACCUCUCCACCAAGGCUAUAAACAAGAUGCGCACACACUCUGUACCUGACUGACAGCUGCCUGGCAUUUGGAGAGGCUGCUGUGACAUGUUUUCUCUGUGUGUGGAGACGGUGCCUGUCAGGCACCAAUAUUGCCAUGACAUUUUUGGCCAUAAAAAUCGAUGCUGUUUUGUCCCUAGUCCCGGGAUCUCCCAGCAGAAUAGAAAAAGAGGUCUCCUUACACAAAUCCACCAUGCAGGUGUAACUGACUCUGAAUCCAUCCGCGAUAAGACACGGAUAUGUCCAAAGAGAAGAAUAUCUCGUUUACACACUAUAGUUGCAGCAAUGCAAUUGAGAGCCCUAAGGGAAUCAGUAGAGGACUCCUGAGUACAGAUCCAACCACUAGGGAGAAGAACAGAAGUUCCAUCAGUGAUGAAGGUUUCCUGCCCUUCCCUCCAACUUUCCACAAAAAGAACCGGGUCCAAAACAGGCUACUGCUCAUCACUGCCCUAGCUGGACUGGCAGGAAUUGUAGUGAUGACUACAAGGCAGAAUACUCUCUUUGUCUUCUCCAUGGGCAGAAUGCCUCUCUAGUCCAUAUCCUAAACCCUUCCAUAGCCACCUUCUUCUCCUCCUCCUUCUUCGUCUUCUUCAUCUUCUAGUUCCACAUCAUUGGUUUUCUGCCACAUGUCAUCAGCUUACUCCUGGAUCCCAAGAACCAUGAUAUCUUAAAGAAUAGAUAACAUGGUUGAAUAAUUGUUGCCUACAUCACAACUCAGUGUCAUUAACACUAAAUGUUGCCUAUUUGCCCUGUGGCCUAUCUGCUAUCAUUGCCUGAGACCCACAUCAGCUGUCAUGUGGGCCCUGCUUGGGCCCUGUCAAUGUUACUGAGCCUCCUGGAAUAAUGCAACUGUUCUAUGCUGGAUGGAAUUUUUUAAAUGAUUGGCCUUUAAAAAUAAAACUUGAC